rnacentral:rRNA from 1 species
GGAAUAUUGGACAAUGGGCGCAAGCCUGAUCCAGCAAUGCCGCGUGAGUGAUGAAGGCCCUAGGGUUGUAAAGCUCUUUUACCCGGGAUGAUAAUGACAGUACCGGGCGAAUAAGCCCCGGCUCACUCCGUCCCAGCAGCCGCGGUAAUACGGAGGGGGCUAGCGUUGUUCGGAAUUACUGGGCGUAAAGCGCACGUAGGCGGGUUUGUAAGUUAGAGGUGAAAGCCCGGGGCUCAACUCCGGAACUGCCUUUAAGACUGCAUCGCUUGAAUCCAGGAGAGGUGAGUGGAAUUCCGAGUGUAGAGGUGAAAUUCGUAGAUAUUCGGAAGAACACCAGUGGCGAAGGCGGCUCACUGGACUGGUAUUGACGCUGAGGUGCGAAAGCGUGGGGAGCAAA